GUCGAGGGGCAUCGGGAGGGAAGCUUGCUUUCCUUGCCGGCGACCGGCGCACGGGUGAGUAACACGUAUGCAACCUGCCCUCUUCAGGGGGACAACCUUCCGAAAGGGAGGCUAAUCCCGCGUAUAUCGGUUUCGGGCAUCCGAGAUCGAGGAAAGAUUCAUCGGAAGAGGAUGGGCAUGCGGCGCAUUAGCUAGACGGCGGGGUAACGGCCCACCGUGGCGACGAUGCGUAGGGGUUCUGAGAGGAAGGUCCCCCACACUGGUACUGAGACACGGACCAGACUCCUACGGGAGGCAGCAGUGAGGAAUAUUGGUCAAUGGGAGAGAUCCUGAACCAGCCAAGCCGCGUGAGGGAAGACGGCCCUAUGGGUUGUAAACCUCUUUUGUCGGAGAACAAAACCCGGGACGAGUCCCGGACUGCGUGUAUCCGAAGAAAAAGCAUCGGCUAACUCCGUGCCAGCAGCCGCGGUAAUACGGAGGAUGCGAGCGUUAUCCGGAUUUAUUGGGUUUAAAGGGUGCGUAGGCGGUCCGUUAAGUCAGCGGUAAAAUUGCGGGGCUCAACCCCGUCGAGCCGUUGAAACUGGCAGACUUGAGUUGGCGAGAAGUACGCGGAAUGCGCGGUGUAGCGGUGAAAUGCAUAGAUAUCGCGCAGAACUCCGAUUGCGAAGGCAGCGUACCGGCGCCAGACUGACGCUGAGGCACGAAAGCGUGGGGAUCGAACAGGAUUAGAUACCCUGGUAGUCCACGCAGUAAACGAUGAAUGCUGGUUGUCCGGGUCGAAUGAGACCUGNGCGGCGAAGCGAAAGCGAUAAGCAUUNCACCUGGGGAGUACG
rnacentral:rRNA from 1 species